GCAGCGCUGCUCUGAGCAGGGGAUGAGCGUUGCAGCAGGGAGGCAGACAGACGGACAGGACGGACAGGACGGACGGAGACAGGAUGGACAGACGGACAGGGCAGACAGAGAGACAAGAUAGACAGGCCGGACAGGAUGGGCAGGAUGGACAGGAGAGAUAGGCAGGACAGGCAGACAGGAUGGACAGAACGGUCAGGACAGACAGACAAGACAGACAGGACAGACAGACAAGACGGGAUGGACAGGAUGGGCAGGAUGGGUGGGAUGGACAGGGCAGAUAUAGGCAGGAAAGGCAGACAGGAUGGACAGAACGGUCAGGACAGACGGACAAGACGGACAGACAGACAGGAUGGACAGGACGGACAGGACAGAUGGGGUGGACAGGAUGGACAGACAGGACAGACAGACAAGACAGACAGGACGGACAGGAUGGGUGGGAUGGACAGGACAGGUAGGCAGGACAGGCAGACAGGACGGACAGGAGGGACAGGACAGACGGACAGGACGGACAGACAGAGUCAGACAGGAUGGACAGAACGGACAGGACAGAUGGGAUGGACAAGGCAGCCAGACAGGACAGAUGGACAAGACAGACGGGACGGACAGGACGGACAGGGCAGACAGAGAGGCGAGACAGGAUGGACAAGACAGACGGACAGGACAGAUGGACAGAGUCAGGACAGACAGAGGGACGGACAGGACAGCUGGGCAGGACAGACAGAGAGACAAGACAGGCUGGACAGAGGAACGGACAAGACAGACAGGAUGGACGGACAGAGGAACGGACAGGACAGACAGACGGACAGGAUGGACAGGAUGGACAGACAGAGAGACAAGACAGACCAGACAGAGGAACGGUCAGGACAGACGGACAGGAUGGACAGACAGAGAGACAAGACAGGUCGGACAGAGGAACGGACAGGACAGACAGACGGACAGGAUGGACAGGAUGGACAGACAGAUGAGACAGGCAGGACAGACGGACGCACGUUGUGCCCCGGUGCCCUGUGUCCGGGUGGGGACGCUGCCGCCGCCAUCGCUCGGCUCCCGCGGCGCCGAACCAUUCCAUGGUUCUGUGACCUGCAAGGACCUUUCCGAUUGCACCCAUCCAUUCUAUGAUUCUGUGGCCUUCCAGGACCUUUCCAACCCAGCCCAACCAUUCCAUCGUUCUGUGAUCUUUAAGGACCUUUCCAGUCCAAUCCCACUAUUCCAUGGUUCUUUGAUUUUGAAGGACCAUUGUAUGAUUCUGUGACCUUCAAGGACCUUUCCAAUCCAGUCCCACUAUUCCAUGGUUCUGUGAUCUUUAAGGACCUUUCCAAUCCAACCAGACCAUUCCAUGGUUCUGUGACCUUCCAGGACCUUUCCAAUCCAACCUGACCAUUCCAUGGUUCGGUGAUCUUUGAGGACCUUUCCAAUCCAACCUGACCAUUCCAUGGUUCUGUGACCUUCCAGGAUCUUUCCAAUCCAACCUGACCAUUGCGUGGUUCUGUGACCUUCCAGGACCUUUCCAACCCAACCCGACCAUUCCAUGGUUCUGUGACCUUCCAGGACCUUUCCAAUCCAACCCAACCAUUCCAUGCUUCUGUGAUCUUUAAGGACCUUUCCAAUCCAACCCAACCAUUCCAUGCUUCUGUGAUCUUCAAGGACCUUUCCAAUCCAACCUGACCAUUGCGUGGUUCUGUGACCUUCGAGGACCUUUCCAAUCCAACCUGACCAUUCCAUGGUUCUGUGACCUUCCAGGAUCUUUCCAAUCCAACCUGACCAUUGCGUGGUUCUCUGACCUGCAAGGACCUUUCCAAUCCAACCAGACCAUUCCAUGGUUCUGUGAUCUUUAAGGACCUUUCCAAUCCAACCUGACCAUUCCAUGGUUCGGUGAUCUUUAAGGACCUUUCCAAUCCAACCCAAUCAUUCUAUGAUUCUGUGACCUUCAAGGACCUUUCCAAUCCAACC
ensembl:lncRNA repetin-like